UACGUAGGGGGCAAGCGUUGUCCGGAUUUAUUGGGCGUAAAGAGCGUGUAGGCGGCCAGAUAGGUCAGCUGUGAAAACUCGAGGCUCAACCUCGAGAUGUCGGCUGAAACCAUCUGGCUAGAGUCCGGAAGAGGAGAAUGGAAUUCCCGGUGUAGCGGUGAAAUGCGCAGAUAUCGGGAGGAACACCAGUGGCGAAGGCGGCGAUCUGGGAAGAUACUGACGCUGAGGUGCGAAAGCGUGGGGAGCAAGCAGG
rnacentral:rRNA from 1 species